UCCAACUCGGUGAUCAGGACUGAACACAGACGAGUCACCAUGGAGUUUGGACUGAAAUGCGUUUUCCUUCUUGCUGUAUUAAAAGGUGUCCAGUGUGAGGUGCAGCUGGUGGAGUCCGGGGGAGGCUUGGUGAAGCCUGGAGGGUCUCUGAGACUCACCUGUGUCGCCUCUGGAUUCACCUUUGAUGACUAUGCCAUGCACUGGGUCCGCCAGGCUCCAGGGAAGGGGCUGGAGUGGGUCUCAGCCAUUAGCGAGAGUGGUGGUAGCACAUACUACGCAGACUCCGUGAAGGGCCGAUUCACCAUCUCCAGGGAAAACGCCAAGAACACACUGUAUCUGCAAACUGAAAAUGCGAGAGCUGAGGACACGGCCACGUAUUACUGUGCGAGAGACACAGUGAGGGGACGUCAGUGGGAGCCCAGACAAGAACCUCCCUACUGGGACACACGGGACCAGCAGGGGGCGCUCAGGACCCACCAAGUUCAAGGCUGA